GGAGGAAAAGAAACCAACAGGGAUUGCCCUAGUAACGGCGAGUGAAGCGGCAACAGCUCAAAUUUGAAAGCUGGCUCCGGCCCGCGUUGUAAUUUGCAGAGGAUGCUUCUGGCGAGGUGCCUUCCGAGUUCCCUGGAACGGGACGCCAUAGAGGGUGAGAGCCCCGUAUGGAUGGACACCAAACCUGUGUGAAGCUCCUUCAACGAGUCGAGUAGUUUGGGAAUGCUGCUCUAAAUGGGAGGUAAAUCUCUUCUAAAGCUAAAUACCGGCCAGAGACCGAUAGCGCACAAGUAGAGUGAUCGAAAGAUGAAAAGCACCUUGAAAAGGGGGUUAAACAGUACGUGAAAUUGUUGAAAGGGAAGCGCUUGUGACCAGACUUGCGCCGGGCAGCUCAUCAGGGGUUCUCCCCUGUGCACUCUGCCCGGCUCAGGCCAGCAUCGGUUCUCGUGGGAGGAUAAGAACGGUAGGAACGUGGCCCCCCUCCGGGGGGGUGUUAUAGCCUGCCGUACGAUACUCCCGUGGGGACCGAGGUUCGCGCUCCGCAAGGAUGCUGGCGUAAUGGUCAUCAGCGACCCGUCU
rnacentral:rRNA from 1 species